UAGAAGUGGAUCAGUGUCACAUAUCAACUGUUGUUUCUUUUAGGAAACUUCACAUCAGAGGAGACUCCAGCCUCCACUGGUAUUUUUCUUAUUCAUAUACAUCUACUUGUUUUGGAGGAAAUACUCAAUAUUAAUCAACACAUUUUCCAUUAUUGAGUGAAGCCUUUUGGUUGUCUGGUUCUCCUCCUGCUCUGUCUUUUCAUCAAGGUCUAAUUUCAUCAGGAAGAUCCCUCAGGAUCUAAUGAGAUGAAAGAAACUACAAUGGGACUCAGUAGAGCGCAUAUUCACCAAGGCCCAGCAGUCCCCUUAAAUACAAUCAAGCUGCACCAAAUUUCACACACUCAUAGAUAUCAGUCCUCUACAUACGGCAGAUUUUUUUCAUUAAGGUCCAAGAAUUAUUCCCUAGGAAAACGUUUUAAAAGCACAAUGUUAAAGAAAGAGUUAAAAAAUGACUGGAUCAGCUUAAUACCAAAAUACAGUGGGCCCUUUCCUGACACUUACUACAUCUGUCUGCCAAGUUGAUUGGAAAUCCAAUUGUUGUUGUUAUUAUAACAGUUUUAUUUAUUUAAACAAGUAUUAUGUCGUCUUGAUCAGGUUCCUGGAAAUGGAUCAUUGCUUCAUGUGGGGUUCUACUUCUGAUCGUCAUUCCUUUGACUGUUUGGCUCGUUUGUCACUACAGGUACCAGAAGUUCUGCACUUGGAGCUGCUGGCCUGUUUCCAAACAGGAAGUUCCAGCAGGGGUGCUUCCUGCCACCAAGUUGGAUGUGACGAAGGUGCAGUGGGACCUGUCAUGGAUGGAGAUGUCCAACCUGUUGGAAAAGGAUUCUUAUUGUGGCACUUAAAGGGAAACUCUCUUCUGAAGCCCAGAGACUUAACUAUUGGGUCAAACCUAUGAGAAAGCUCAGUCAGUGCUGCAAUUUGUAGUAUUUGAUGGUCACAUGUCAAAAUAGUGCUACCUGAUAUAUUUUUGAAUUGAAUUAAAUGAGAUGUUUAGGAUUUAUAAGGAUGACUACAUUUGCUGAUGGUGCAGAUUUGAUAGCUUCCAAUACAAAUGUUAUUGUUUCAGUUGUCACAUUUGUCAAUGUCAGUACUCUUGCACAUUUAAAUGUCUCUCCUUUGAGUACAUUUUGAAACUAAGAAUCGUAUUUGUUAUAUCUUAUUAUCUAAUCAUUAAUAUAAUUGACUGUUCUAAAUCAUUUUACAUGUAUCAUUUCUCCUGUGUUUGUUCGAGGUUCCAUGUUGUUUGCUCCCUUUGAAUCGUUAUUUGCUAUUUCUUGUCGUCUGAAGUUAUAAAAGUCAUGGAAAUCGU